AGAACGAACGCUGGCGGCAUGCCUAACACAUGCAAGUCGAACGCUCUCUUCGGAGGGAGUGGCGCACGGGUGAGUAACGCGUGGGAACCUGCCUUGGAGUGGGGGAUAACCGAUGGAAACGUCGGCUAAUACCGCAUACGUCCUGAGGGAGAAAGAUUUAUCGCUCUGAGAGGGGCCCGCGUCGGAUUAGCUAGUUGGUGGGGUAACGCCUACCAAGGCGAUGAUCCGUAGCUGGUCUGAGAGGAUGAUCAGCCACACUGGGACUGAGACACGGCCCAGACUCCUACGGGAGGCAGCAGUGGGGAUAUUGCGCAAUGGGCGAAAGCCUGACGCAGCGACGCCGCGUGCGGGAUGAAGGCCUUCGGGUUGUAAACCGCUUUCAGCAGGGACGAAGCGAAAGUGACGGUACCUGCAGAAGAAGCGCCGGCUAACUACGUGCCAGCAGCCGC
rnacentral:rRNA from 1 species